GGCUCGUUGGUCAAGCGGUUAAGACGUCGCCCUCUCACGGCGAAAACAGGGGUUCGAUUCCCCUACGAGCUGCUA
rnacentral:tRNA from 3 species